rnacentral:rRNA from 1 species
GACGAACGCUGGCGGCGUGCUUAACACAUGCAAGUCGAACGGAAGGGCCCUGCUUUUGUGGGGUGCUCGAGUGGCGAACGGGUGAGUAACACGUGAGUAACCUGCCCUUGACUUUGGGAUAACUUCAGGAAACUGGGGCUAAUACCGGAUAGGAGCUCCUGCUGCAUGGUGGGGGUUGGAAAGUUUCGGCGGUUGGGGAUGGACUCGCGGCUUAUCAGCUUGUUGGUGGGGUAGUGGCUUACCAAGGCUUUGACGGGUAGCCGGCCUGAGAGGGUGACCGGCCACAUUGGGACUGAGAUACGGCCCAGACUCCUACGGGAGGCAGCAGUGGGGAAUAUUGCACAAUGGGCGGAAGCCUGAUGCAGCAACGCCGCGUGCGGGAUGACGGCCUUCGGGUUGUAAACCGCUUUCGCCUGUGACGAAGCGUGAGUGACGGUAAUGGGUAAAGAAGCACCGGCUAACUACGUG